UUGGCUCAGCUGUUGGACAGGACAAGUUAAAAAAAAAAUAAAUACAAUAAAAAUAAAUAAUGAUAAUAAUAAUCUGUGUUGAAAUGUGACCAAAGUUGACAAGUACAUUUUUCAGGACCAUUUGCUACAUGGAUAACAAAUGUUUGUACCUCAUUAGGCUAAUCUUGAUAGAAUGGAUGAUGGAUUUAGUCUGAGCUUAUCUGUGGUUGUCAUGGCAGCACACCUUCCUCAUCCACCCAGUCUGUGGGGGAGCUGAUCAGGUGAUGAGUGACACCUGUUCACUUCCCUUUAUUAGGAGCUGCUGCUCUGCAGUUUGUCUCAAGCCUUCUUUGGGGGUGUCAGUGUUUCACCCAGGAUGCCAAACUAGCCGGAUCCACCUUUGAAGGUGAAAGAAGAGACUGCCUCCUUUCACGGGUUGCCACUGGGCUCCACUGCCAGUGCAGUGGUAGCUGGGAUCCCCAGUUGCACCGCAAAUUCGCGUGCAACUGGGUUGAAGUGGAAUUGAACGGAGUGCAUUGCUCCCUCCGCUUCCUACAGGGUUGAGAAGCUGGAACCCGCUACUGUUUUUUAUGUCUUGUUUUGUUCACCAAGACUGGCCACAGAUGCUCCUCGGGUCCUCCACAUCAACUCCACUGUGCCACCGGGUCAGCCGCUGAGCUGCAGCACCUCGCUCUCCUUCGUUCAGUGGAUCACAUUGGUGAUUCUGGGACCUUGUGUCCUGUUGGGACUUGUGUUCCUACGUGUUGCUGGAGCAGCUGAUGGACUCGUUUUUAACUCGAGAUUUUACUGAUCUGUGUUCCAAAAAGGGUCUGUUUGCCUCUUAAUUUGUUUUAUUGUUUCAGAGCUGCAGCAACAGGGACUUUCUCAAGUGGAUGUUUUUGUUGUUUUGUGUUCCCCUGAGUUUGAUUCUAUUUCUAUUGAUUGGGUUGUAUUUUUGAUUCUGCUUGAGUAACCAGGUCUCUGUUAGAGGUGGACUCUAGACCCCUUAUGGUUUUA